rnacentral:rRNA from 1 species
UACGGAGGGAGCUAGCGUUGUUCGGAAUUACUGGGCGUAAAGCGCACGUAGGCGGCUUUGUAAGUUAGAGGUGAUAGCCUGGAGCUCAACUCCAGAAUUGCCUUUAAGACUGCAUCGCUUGAAUCCAGGAGAGGUGAGUGGAAUUCCGAGUGUAGAGGUGAAAUUCGUAGAUAUUCGGAAGAACACCAGUGGCGAAGGCGUCUCACUNGGACUGGUAUUGACGCUGAGGUGCGAAAGCGUGGGGAGCAAACAGGAUUAG